GCCUGUUUCCAGCUGCUGGCACUUCGGUAUAAAUAGACCCUACAAAGGGCUGCCUCUGCUUGGCUUGGUUGGGGAUGGGUUGGUUUGGUGCUGCCGUGCCCAGGGAUGAAGAUGAGGAUGCUGACAAGGUUGGGGACAGCUCGGCCACAGAAAAGGAAGAGACGCCUGUUUCUCAGCCUCUGAAUUGGUGAAGGCAGACCUGAAAAAUGGAGCUCAUUCCUUCCUUGUGUGCCCUCCAGAAGCUGCGAGCCAGCUGCUUUUCCCAUGUCCCUGGGCAGUGCCCGGCUCAGGGAGGAUCUGGGCGAUGCCUGGCACCCAGUGCCCUCAGUGCUGGAGCUGUGGGACAGAUGGGGGAAGAAAGGAGUCUGCUUGCUCACCUCGCCCUGCUCUCCUGCAUCCACUGAGCCUGCUGCAGGAGCAGGUGCCUCUCUGGCCGGAGCGGUGCGCAGUGGCCUGGUGCACAGAGCCAUUGGAACAGCGCAUUUGAGCAUUUAAAAUACAUUAAAGGAGCACUCCCUUUGAAGUGAGAAACUAUCUCUAUUUAAUCAGAGAGAAACAACUUUUCAAAAGAUUUUUUUCCCCUCUUCUUUACCUUCAGCUGUCUGGCUUCUCCUGUGGAUAGUACCAUGAAUAAAACAUGCAUAUCCCAAUUAAAUCUUGAUUUAAUUUCUCUUCUUUGCAAAGCUGAUGAACUCGAGUGCUUUCAUAAAGACGUGAACAUUAGCAUUCUUUUGAGAUGCACAAGCCGGUCGGAGGAACAAGGGACUCAAAUAAUCACCCACAUCUCUCUUGGCCUUGCCAAGCUCUGCGCUGACUUAGAGAAGAAAACCUCGGCUGGGAUAAUCCUCCGGAGCAGUGGCCGUGCUCGGCCCCAUAGUGGAGGGCAGCUGAGGUGCAGGUACAACGGCUGAGAGCAGGAGGAGGAGAGGAAAGCUGACGGUUGGCUUCACAUCAGCUGCCCUGCUCCUGUUGCUUUUCUUCUUUUCCUCGGUGCAGCAAAAUGGUGUGGCAGAAGAAGCAGCUGCAGGCGUGACCAUGAGAUUGGUGCCCAGCUCUGUCGGCUGGUUUGUGCCUGAGCUGCAGCUGCGCUGUGCGGAUGGGCUGCAAGCACCCUGUCCAUCCAUCCACCCUAUCCAUCUGCCCCAUCGCUCCAUCAGAGCUCAGCUCGCUGGUGAAGGCUGCACAGAACUGAAAGCCGCUCUUUGUUACUCCUCCAGCUGCCUGAGAAGGUGAAGAGAAACAAGCCCACUUGUUCUUCACUGAGAUUUUUAUUAUUUUCUUUCUGGUAGAUAAGAAAUAGCUUCGAAGUGAUCGCUCCACCAGCACGCUGGGGCAGGGGCUGUUACUUAGUGCGUUCCUGAAGGCUCCUCACUUUAAAAACAGAAAGCAAAGGUUGUGUUAAUAUUUUUACACACAGCAAAAAAGCGCACAGAAAUGUACGUGUCCAAGCAGGCUAUUUUUAAUGAAAACAGUUCGUUCAGAGCAGCUUUAGGAGCCGUCGGUACAGCUGGUCUGUAUCAUGUGAGCUUCCCUGGAGAGGGUCGUGUGGGCUUCCAGGGCCAGGUCCCUGUGCUCGGGCACUGUCAGACGGUGGUGGCACGUGCACAUCCCCAAUGCCAAGUGCAUGUGCUGCUGCUCUAUCACAGCUGGUCAGUGUUUUCCAACUUUUGUGUUUUUCGUGGAAAAAAAAAAAGGCUGGCUUGAGCAAAAAUAGUUUGUCAUAAGUUUUUUUCACAUAUGUAACCUCUAAAAUAAAUAAUGCUCUACACACUGAUGUCCUUCUGCCCAUCG